ACCCAGCUUUUCUGGAUCUCGUUCUUCAUUCCUAUUGAGGCUCAGAAAAUAAUACCCCAAAGUGUAGGUCUCAGAAGCAGCCUCAGAAGCAAAGUUCCUCUCUGAUCUCCUGCCCUCCUGUGUGUCAACCCUCAUCUCCCGAGGGAGCCCCUUUUCCCCAAAGCCCACCAUAAAAUCUGAAAAUAUUACUCUAACUUUCCCUCACUUUUGUGUGUAAGAACUGAACCAGCCAUAAAGAAAUCUCUGACACACCUUUUUUGAUUGUAGGUACUAAGACCCCAUUCCAAAAAGGGCCCUGCCACAUACCCAAGAGGAAGGAAUGGUGCACGGAGAGGCCAAGAAGAAUCUGACCAGAAAGACCUUGCUGGGUUUCCCUACUCAGUCUGUCAAUAUUAGAUCAUGCCCUUUUUGUCUAAUCAUGUUUCACACAGCUAUCCAGUCUUCACUGAACGCAUCUCAGCUGUGACCCUUUUGAUAGGAAGGAAAAAUAUCCCAGUAGUUCUGCCCCUAUAAUUCUGGUGAUGAAGAUGGGAUACCUGACUUGCCUACUGAUGAGAUCCUGAAACAACGGAUAAAGACCUGGCAAAGGAAGGUCACAUGGAGGUAAGAGCAACCUCAUCUGAGUGUGGAACUUCACGGGAUAUCAGGAAAAUUCUCCUGUUUGAAGGUACAUUAACUCUUUAGAGUAAGUUGUCAAUUUUAUGAAUAUUUUCCUUGUAUCAGAUCAUUCCUCUCAACUUUAUAAUUGAGAAAACUAUCUCUCCCUUUGAAUAAGAAAUGAGCUUGCAUAGGUUCCACCUUGAUUCAGUAGUUAGAGCACUGACAUAAAUAAAGGAACUUUGGAAAAUGCCAUGAUUGCCACAGGGUACAGUAGAAUAGAGAGGCAUCUUGGCAACAUUGCAAUUAAAGAAUUAGGACAUACCUGUGAAUUGUGCAGGUGUCAAUUGCUCAGGUAACAGGGCAGGGGUUCAAUUUAGCAGGGAUCUCUCUACUCUCUGCCUGGGGUUAGAAACCCAACCAUUAUAUUGUUUCUCUUCUAUUCAUGGGUUGCAGGGCCCUAAUUUACAUCUUAAAAUAUUUUUCCUUUCUUCCUCUACCACUUAUAGGGAACCAGUUUAGGGGCAAGAGAACGGGAACAUUUUUUUAAUUCACUUGGUUCUGUCUUUUGUGCAUGCCAAAUUAGCCAUUCAAAUAUUAGAACCCCUUCCAUUCU